rnacentral:lncRNA from 1 species
UUGAUUUGACUCUUUGCAAUCCCAUCUAUAUGAGGUUACUGCUGGAGCUGCAUAACAACAGCUGAAGUCGAUCUUGCUAGUUACUUGACAACAGGUACAUCACUAUAAAUUCUUAAAAACUGACAAACAAGACCAUGCAGAUGCAGCAGGAAAAAAAAAAAAGAUGAAAACAAAUAUGGUUGCAUAUGGAAACUCAUUUCACACUGGCACUUAGAGAGACUGCAGACUGUUGAGCUUAAGGUUCACUGAUGACAGAAAAGAAUACAGCUAAAACACUUGGAUCGGUUGCAUUAGCCAAUUCCAAUUAAAACAAGUUUCUGAUCAAAAGAAGUAACUGAAAACAGGGGUAACAUGACAUGGAAAUUCUGAAUCUUAGUGUACCAAAACAAAUUUGAGUCUUAAAUGUGCAAAUCCUACUCUGCAGUCUAUAUUUAACUCACUUUUCAUUUUUCUGAAUAUUCAAUUUUUCUUUGUAUAGCUUCAAGAGCUCUGGUGCUUUGUUCACAUAACAGUCAACAAACGUCUUGAGGAACGCCUUGCUUGAUGUGUUAAAUAACCUCAUGAUAACAAUUCUUGAGCAAACAAAGCCCUCGGAAUAAUCCUCUUCUCCAAGCUCAUCGGAAGAACACUCAGCUGUUUGGCAACUAGAGAAGAAUUGACACCCAUUUGUUCACAAGAAAGUCCAUUAUAGUCACAACCUUCUCCUACAAUGCUUCCAUAGAACAUGGAUACUUUAGAAACGCUUCCCAAAUCUCUUGGUUGGAGCAACGCCAUUUCCAACAAACAUCAAACUUCUUCUCCAGGGUGGAUUUGCUCAUUGAUCUCAAUGUAAAAGUAGCAUUAACAAACUUCAUUCUUCAAGAAUCAAUCCCCAGUCUUUUGGCUUCCUCCACAAUCUCCUUAAACUGAACCGGAUUAAACCUAAAGGAUCUAGGCUGACGUUGAAGCAUUGUAAAAAUAUUUAAUUCAAGGACCCCAUUUUCUCCCAAAAUAUUCAUAUUUGGUAACAGAUUAGAAUCAAAAUCAUACACAAGAAUACUGGUAAGGUAAUACUAAGUGUGGGAAGAAGUAACCAACUGUGUGUAACUCCUCAACAAGUUGAUUUUUCCGUAUUGUCAGCUGAAAGGUGACAGCACUUUGUGAAGCUCCAUUCGGUCUACAAGAAAUAAUUUGUAGUCGUAAACUAUUCUCAGAUGCUGCCAAAUUGUACAAGGGACACCCUGGAAAAGCUAGGCAAAUCUCUUCAUC